UACGUAGGGCGCAAGCGUUGUCCGGAAUUAUUGGGCGUAAAGAGCUCGUAGGCGGUUUGUCGCGUCUGUCGUGAAAGCUUGGGGCUUAACCCCAAGUCUGCGGUGGAUACGGGCAGAGUAGAGGCAGGUAGGGGAGAACGGAAUUCCCGGUGUAGCGGUGAAAUGCGCAGAUAUCGGGAGGAACACCGGUGGCGAAGGCGGGUCUCUGGGCCGAUACUGACGCUGAGGAGCGAAAGCGUGGGGAGCGAACAGG
rnacentral:rRNA from 1 species